rnacentral:rRNA from 1 species
CAGCCGCCACGGGAAUACGAGGGGGGCGAGCGUUGUUCGGAAUUAUUGGGCGUAAAGGGUGCGUAGGCGGUUUGGUAAGUCUGAUGUGAAAUCUAUGGGCUCAACUCAUAGUCUGCAUCGGAAACUGCCGGGCUUGAGUAUGGGAGAGGUGAGUGGAAUUCCUGGUGUAGCGGUGAAAUGCGUAGAUAUCAGGAGGAACACCUGUGGCGAAAGCGGCUCACUGGACCAUAACUGACGCUGAUGCACGAAAGCUAGGGGAGCAAACAGGAUUAGACACCCCUGUAGUCCCUGUCUCUUAUAC